rnacentral:rRNA from 1 species
GAGUUUGAUCCUGGCUCAGAGCGAACGCUAGCGGCAGGCUUAACACAUGCAAGUCGAGCGCCCUUCGGGGAGCGGCGGACGGGUGAGUAACACGUAGGUAACGUACCUUCUGGAGGGGGAUAACCUCGGGAAACUGAGGCUAAUACCGCAUAUGCCCACUGGGUGAAAGCGUUAGCGCCAGAAGACCGGCCUGCGGCCCAUUAUUUAAUCCUAGUUGGUGAGGUAACGGCUCACCAAGGGUACGAUGGGUAGCUGAUCUGAGAGGAUGAUCAGCCACACUGGGACUGAGACACGGCCCAGACUCCUACGGGAGGCAGCAGUGGGGAAUAUUGGACAAUGGGCGAAAGCCUGAUCCAGCCAUGCCGCGUGUGUGAUGAAGGCCUUCGGGUUGUAAAGCACUGUCGGGGGGGAAGAAGAUCUGACGGUACCCCCCAAGAAAGCACCGGCUAACUCCGUGCCAGCAGCCGCGGUAAUACGGAGGGUGCAAGCGUUGCUCGGAAUUACUGGGCGUAAAGCGUACGCAGGCGGCGCAUCAAGUCGGAUGUGAAAGCCCUGGGCUCAACCCAGGAACUGCAUUCGAAACUGGUGCACUUGAGUCCGAGAGAGGGUGGUGGAAUUCCUGGUGUAGAGGUGAAAUUCGUUGAGAUCAGGAGGAACAUCAGCGGCGAAGGCGGCCACCUGGCUCGGUACUGACGCUCAUGUACGAAAGCGUGGGUAGCAAACAGGAUUAGAUACCCUGGUAGUCCACGCCGUAAACGAUGGAUGCUAGGUGUCGGAGGAUUCACCCCUUCGGUGCCGAA